UACGUAGGGUGCAAGCGUUAAUCGGAAUUACUGGGCGUAAAGCGUGCGCAGGCGGUUUUGUAAGUCUGUCGUGAAAUCCCCGGGCUCAACCUGGGAAUUGCGAUGGAGACUGCAAGGCUAGAAUCUGGCAGAGGGGGGUAGAAUUCCACGUGUAGCAGUGAAAUGACGUAGAGAUGUGGAGGAACACCGAUGGCGAAGGCAGCCCCCUGGGUCAAGAUUGACGCUCAUGCACGAAAGCGUGGGGAGCAACAGG
rnacentral:rRNA from 1 species